rnacentral:rRNA from 1 species
CCUACGGGUGGCAGCAGUGAGGAAUAUUGGUCAAUGGGCGAGAGCCUGAACCAGCCAAGUCGCGUGAAGGAUGACGGCCCUACGGGUUGGAAACUUCUUUUGUCAGGGAGAAAUUGGGUCCACGCGUGGGCUUAGCGAGAGUACCUGAAGAAAAAGCAUCCGCUAAAUCCGUGCCAGCAGCCGCGGGAAUACGGAAGAUGCGAGCGGUAUCCGGUUUUAUUGGGUUGAAAGGGAGCUUAGGCGGAAGAUCACGUCAGCGGUAAAAAUUCGGGGCUCAACCCCGUCGUGACGUUGAAACUGAUGUUCUUGAGUGGGCGAGAAGUAUGCGGAAUGCGUGGUGUAGCGGUGAAAUGCAUAGAUAUCACGCAGAACUCCGAUUGCGAAGGCAGCAUACCGGCGCCCAACUGACGCUGAAGCACGAAAGCGUGGGUAUCGAACAGGAUUAGAUACCCGAGUAGUC